rnacentral:RNase_P_RNA from 1 species
GAGAGAGGAAGGGCGGCUGCCGGUCCGUUCAUCUUUAAUUUGAGCGGGCUGAGGAAAGUCCCUCCACCAUAUUUAUCUUGACACGAACGUCGAGAGGACGUAAGGCGAGAGCCUUGGCUCUGGUAUAGAAACGGUACCGUGCCAUACUAACGUGAUGAUUCCGUAAGGAUGAAUUCGUAUGGUUACGGAUGGAACGACCAUCCUCGUGGGUGCAAGCCUGUAGGUAAAAGGCGCGAAGAUGAAUGCCGCCGAAACAGAAGGGGGCUUACUCUCCUCACUC